rnacentral:ncRNA from 3 species
AACAACGGAUCUCUUGGUUCUCGC